rnacentral:tRNA from 1 species
CGGGGCGUAGCGCAGUCUGGUAGCGUACCUGCCUGGGGGGCAGGUGGUCGCAAGUUCGAAUCUUGCCGUCCCGACCA